rnacentral:lncRNA from 1 species
UUCCUGACCCCCAAAAUUUUGAUUUAUGACCUAACCAACCCCUCCCCACAUACAAACAAAAUAAUUAAAAUCCGUUAAUUACAUCUUUCUUACGUAUUAUUUACAAUUUUUUUUGUCAUCAACAUGCACAGACUCAAACUGGCUCUGCAAACCAAAUUAGUAACUCUGCAUCCAUGCAAACGACAAAAAACGUUUGUUUUCAGACAUUGCAUGCUAUACUAUCCGUCUUUAAAUUUUGCGUUCAGGAUACAUGAAUGAUCUUUGCGUGCUGAACUCUCUUGAUUACAUAUUAUUACUUGCAAUCUAUCUCAUUCUUAUUUAUUAUCCUAGUCUGGUUUUUAAUUAAAUCAAUUUCUGUAAUAUAUUCAGAAAUAUUAAUGUUUUUUAUUCUAAAAAGUAUAAUCAUUUAAUAUCUACCUAAAAUAAAUGAAAAUAUUAUAAAAAAGAUUCUCAGACGGAAAGUUCAUUUAAAUUUUGAAUUAAUUUUGAAAAAUAAAAAUAUCUUAUUUAACGAGUGAAUCCAUUUUCUUUUUUACUUAAAAUUUAAGCAUUUAUUUCUGACACAUUAUUAACUAUUAUAAUGCUAUUGAUGAUAUUAGAAAAAUAACACAUAAUAGUUUAAAGAUGUUUUCAUAGGAUUUGUAAAGUUUUCAAUACAUUAUUUUGUUCAGAUAUGUAAUCAUGUGUUAAUAUAUUAUUUAUGUAAUUGACAAACAUUUUUUCUUAAGCUAAUAAAUUGAACAAAAAAAAUAUAGUAGUAAAUAGCAAUGAAGACUGAGAAGAGAGUAGAGACUAGAGAGUGACAUAAAUAGAAGGACAAAAAGUUAGACCGACCAGCAAAGGGACCAUGAAGAGCGUGGGAAGGUAAGUUAGUUGGUCGUUGUUGACGUCUCCUUUCGAUGCAUGACGAAGGUUCCUCUUUCCUAAUCUUUGACCCUGACUUCAUUUUUUUUUAAUUCAUUAUAUUUCACGUAAAUACAGUAUUAGAUGUUUUUUUUCUUUCUAAAGUUUGGUGCCGUAUUAGAUGUUAUUUAAAGAAAAUAAAGACGAUUAUUACACCAAAAAAAAUAAAGACGAAUAUGGAUGUCAACUUCCUUUUCUUUUCUACUACUUUCUUUCUCUUUAAUCACUUUCGGUACGUAGUUCUUAAAAUUAUCAUUAUCCAGUUUUUUUUCUUUUUCUUUAUCUUAUUGUAUUUCUCUGGUCGGAAAUUCAGGGGAAUUAUUCUUUGCUUCCUGUGAGAAAAAGAAGUUUUCGUGUUCAUAUUUCGUUAGUUAAAGUUUAUCUUAUUCAACGUUUAUUAUAUAAUGAUCGACAUCUGAUCUAUUAAAAGAGAAGUACAAAUUAAGACUAACCCUUACACUUACACAAUAUUUAUAGCCUAAUACCACUGACAUAACUAGAUGAACAUAUUUUGAAUAAUCUUUAUCUUUUCCAAAAUUAAUGAAGUAAUAAUUACUCUUAAUUAUAUAAUUAUAUGCUUUCCAUGUCUUUUUCAAAAUUAAUAAAACAUUUCUUAAAUGAAAUUCACAACCAAUUCAAUAUAAAUCUUUUAACUUAUUUAUGUCAUAUUAAUAUUAUAAACAUUAAUAAAUAUCAAUAAUAUACACAAAAUAUUUUUGUAACAAUAUAAGUUGUAUUUUGUCUCAUUCUCCUCCACAAUUCACGUUACUCUUC